rnacentral:rRNA from 1 species
CUCUCGGGGUUACAGCCUUGCUGAAUUAUUCACCCUUGUCUUUUGCGUACUUCUUGUUUCCUUGGUGGGUUCGCCCACCACUAGGACAAACAUAAACCUUUUGUAAUUGCAAUCAGCGUCAGUAACAAAUUAAUAAUUACAACUUUCAACAACGGAUCUCUUGGUUCUGGCAUCGAUGAAGAACGCAGCGAAAUGCGAUAAGUAGUGUGAAUUGCAGAAUUCAGUGAAUCAUCGAAUCUUUGAACGCACAUUGCGCCCUUUGGUAUUCCAAAGGGCAUGCCUGUUCGAGCGUCAUUUGUACCCUCAAGCUUUGCUUGGUGUUGGGCGUCUUGUCUCUAGCUUUGCUGGAGACUCGCCUUAAAGUAAUUGGCAGCCGGCCUACUGGUUUCGGAGCGCAGCACAAGUCGCACUCUCUAUCAGCAAAGGUCUAGCAUCCAUUAAGCCUUUUUUCAACUUUUGACCUCGGAUCAGGUAGGGAUACCCGCUGAACUUAAG